rnacentral:rRNA from 1 species
AUUGAACGCUAGCGGGAUGCCUUACACAUGCAAGUCGAACGGCGUGGCGAACGGGUGAGUAAUGUAUCGGACCGUGACCAGUACCGGGGGAUAACUACGCGAAAGCGUAGCUAAUACCGCAUACUAUUGGAGUGGCCGAUACCGGAUUAGCUAGUGGUGGGGGUAACGGCUCACCCAGGCGACGAUCCGUAGCUGGUUUGAGAGGAGGACCAGCCAACCUGGGACUGAGACACGGCCCAGACUCCUACGGGAGGCAGCAGUGGGGAAUAUUGGACAAUGGGGGCAACCCUGAUCCAGCCAUCCCGCGUGUGUGAUGAAGGCCUUCGGGUUGUAAAGCACUUUCGGCAGGAAAGCGGUACCUGCAGAAUAAGCACCGGCUAACUACGUGCCAGCCGCCGCGGUAAUAC